ACGCUGGCGGCACGCCUAACACAUGCAAGUCGAACGAAGUAGCAAUACUUAGUGGCAGACGGGUGAGUAACAUGUAGGUAUCUGCCCUUUGGCCUGGAAUAACACGAGGAAACUUGUGCUAAUACCGGAUAAGUCUUUACGGAGAAAGCUUUAUGCACCAUUGGAUGAGCCUGCACUUGAUUAGUUUGUUGGUGGGGUAAUGGCCUACCAAGACUGUGAUCAAUAGCUGAUUUGAGAGGAUGAUCAGCCACAUUGGGACUGAGACACGGCCCAAACUCCUACGGGAGGCAGCAGUGGGGAAUCUUGCACAAUGGAGGAAACUCUGAUGCAGCGAUGCCGCGUGAGUGAAGAAGGCCCUUGGGUUGUAAAGCUCUUUCGUCGGGGAAGAAAAUGACUGUACCCGAAUAAGAAGGUCCGGCUAACUUCGUGCCAGCAGCCGCGGUAAUACGAAGGGACCUAGCGUAGUUCGGAAUUACUGGGCUUAAAGAGUUCGUAGGUGGUUGAAAAAGUUGGUGGUGAAAUCCCAGAGCUUAACUCUGGAACUGCCAUCAAAACUUUUCAGCUAGAGUAUGAUAGAGGAAAGCAGAAUUUCUAGUGUAGAGGUGAAAUUCGUAGAUAUUAGAAAGAAUACCAAUUGCGAAGGCAGCUUUCUGGAUCAUUACUGACACUGAGGAACGAAAGCAUGGGUAGCGAAGAGGAUUAGAUACCCUCGUAGUCCAUGCCGUAAACGAUGUGUGUUAGACGUUGGAAAUUUAUUUUCAGUGUCGCAGCGAAAGCGAUAAACACACCGCCUGGGGAGUACGACCGCAAGGUUAAAACUCAAAUGAAUUGACGGGGACCCGCACAAGUAGUGGAGCAUGUGGUUUAAUUCGAAGAUACGCGCAGAACCUUACCAACACUUGACAUGUUCGUCGCGACUUUAAGAGAUUAAAGUUUUCGGUUCGGCCGGACGAAACACAGGUGCUGCAUGGCUGUCGUCAGCUCGUGUCGUGAGAUGUUGGGUUAAGUCCCGCAACGAGCGCAACCCUCACUUUUAGUUGCCAUCAUUAAGUUGGGCACUCUGAAAGAACUGCCAGUGAUAAGCUGGAGGAAGGUGGGGAUGACGUCAAGUCCUCAUGGCCCUUACGUGUUGGGCUACACACGUGCUACAAUGGUAUCUACAACAGGAAGCAAGACGGCGACGUCAAGCAAAUCCUUAAAAGAUACCUCAGUUCGGAUUGCACUCUGCAACUCGAGUGCAUGAAGCUGGAAUUACUAGUAAUCGUGGAUCAGCGUGCCACGGUGAAUGCGUUCCCGGGUCUUGUACACACCGCCCGUCACACCAUGGGAGUUGGUUCUACCUUAAGGCAAGGUUUAAAACCCUUGACCACGGUAUAGUCAGCGACUGGGGU
rnacentral:rRNA from 1 species